UACGUAGGGUGCAAGCGUUGUCCGGAAUUAUUGGGCGUAAAGAGCUCGUAGGCGGUUUGUCGCGUCUGCUGUGAAAACUCGGGGCUUAACCCUGGGCCUGCAGUGGGUACGGGCAGACUAGAGUGCGGUAGGGGAGACUGGAAUUCCUGGUGUAGCGGUGAAAUGCGCAGAUAUCAGGAGGAACACCGAGUGCGAAGGCAGGUCUCUGGGCUGUAACUGACGCUGAGGAGCGAAAGCAUGGGGAGCGAACAGG
rnacentral:rRNA from 1 species